rnacentral:rRNA from 1 species
AAGGGUGGCGUAGGCGGCCUGUUAAGUCAGAGGUGAAAGACGGUAGCUCAACUAUCGCAGUGCCUUUGAUACUGAUGGGCUUGAAUGGACUAGAGGUAGGCGGAAUGAGACAAGUAGCGGUGAAAUGCAUAGAUAUGUCUCAGAACACCGAUUGCGAAGGCAGCUUACUAUGGUUUUAUUGACGCUGAGGCACGAAAGCGUGGGGAUCAAACAGGAUUAGAUACCCCUGU